rfam:Schistosoma margrebowiei strain Zambia genome assembly, scaffold: SMRZ_scaffold0004467
AUCCGACUGAUGAGUCACAAAUAGGACGAAACGCACGUCCUGAAU